rnacentral:lncRNA from 1 species
ACCUGCGUAACCCUGACAUAUUAUAUUUGUGCCUGUUCCAAAUCAAGAACAUGUAAUUUAUUGGUUAUCGUUUGGUUUUGUUUAUUUAAUUUAUCUGUUCUUUAUUGUUUGGUACAAAAAUCAGGCCGUUAGUUUUAGUGUAAGUUGUUUUACUUUUGUUAUUUAAGGGAUUUUUAUAAUUUAUACGGCAUGGGUUUUGCUCACUGUUGAAGGCCUUAAGAUGACAUAUAGUUGUCAAUUUUUAAUUCAUUUGGAUCUGACUGGAACAUUUCCUAUCGACAAUUGUACCACAUCUUCGUUUUUUUUACAUGGAGCAUAAUUUAUUUUUCUAAUGGCACAUUUCUUGUUCUCCAAUCACAAUCUGUAACAUAUUUUUU